CCUACGGGAGGCUGCAGUGAGGAAUAUUGGUCAAUGGACGAGAGUCUGAACCAGCCAAGUCGCGUGAAGGAUGACUGCCCUAUGGGUUGUAAACUUCUUUUAUAUGGGAAUAAAAUGUUCCACGUGUGGGAUUUUGUAUGUACCAUAUGAAUAAGGAUCGGCUAACUCCGUGCCAGCAGCCGCGGUAAUACGGAGGAUCCGAGCGUUAUCCGGAUUUAGUGGGUUUAAAGGGAGCGUAGGUGGAUUGUUAAGUCAGUUGUGAAAUUUUGCGGCUCAACCGUAAAAUUGCAGUUGAAACUGGCAGUCUUGAGUACAGUAGAGGUGGGCGGAAUUCGUGGUGUAGCGGUGAAAUGCUUAGAUAUCACGAAGAACUCCGAUUGCGAAGGCAGCUCACUGGACUGCAACUGACACUGAGGCUCGAAAGUGUGGGUAUCAAACAGGAUUAGAUACCCGUGUAGUC
rnacentral:rRNA from 1 species